rnacentral:rRNA from 1 species
AUGGCUGUCGUCAGCUCGUGUCGUGAGAUGUUGGGUUAAGUCCCGCAACGAGCGCAACCCCCGUCCUUAGUUGCUACCAUUUAGUUGAGCACUCUAAGGAGACUGCCGGUGAUAAGCCGCGAGGAAGGUGGGGAUGACGUCAAGUCCUNAUGGCCCUUACGGGNUGGGCUACACACNUGCUACAAUGGCGGUGACNAUGGGACGCUAAGGAGCAAUCCUUCGCAAAUCUCNANAAGCCGUCUCAGUUCGGAUUGGACUNUGCAAGCUCGAGUCCAUGAAGUUGGAAUCGNUAGUAAUCGUGGAUCAGCAUGCCACGGUGAAUACGUUCCCCGGGCCUUGUACACACCGCCCGUCACACCCAUGGGAGUUGGUUUUACGCUGAGACGGUAGUGCGCUAAUCCCGA